GAUGAACGCUGGCGGCGUGCCUAAUACAUGCAAGUCGAGCGAACAGACGAGGAGCUUGCUCCUCUGACGUUAGCGGCGGACGGGUGAGUAACACGUGGAUAACCUACCUAUAAGACUGGGAUAACUUCGGGAAACCGGAGCUAAUACCGGAUAAUAUAUUGAACCGCAUGGUUCAAUAGUGAAAGACGGUUUUGCUGUCACUUAUAGAUGGAUCCGCGCCGCAUUAGCUAGUUGGUAAGGUAACGGCUUACCAAGGCAACGAUGCGUAGCCGACCUGAGAGGGUGAUCGGCCACCCUGGAACUUAGACACGGUCCAGACUCCUACGGGAGGCAGCAGUAGGGAAUCUUCCGCAAUGGGCGAAAGCCUGACGGAGCAACGCCGCGUGAGUGAUGAAGGUCUUCGGAUCGUAAAACUCUGUUAUUAGGGAAGAACAAAUGUGUAAGUAACUAUGCACGUCUUGACGGUACCUAAUCAGAAAGCCCCGGCUAACUACGUG
rnacentral:rRNA from 1 species